rnacentral:rRNA from 1 species
GCCGCAUGGCUCAGUGGGAAAAACUCCGGUGGUAUGAGAUGGACCCGCGUCUGAUUAGGUAGUUGGUGGGGUAACGGCCUACCAAGCCAACGAUCAGUAGCCGACCUGAGAGGGUGACCGGCCACAUUGGGACUGAGACACGGCCCAAACUCCUACGGGAGGCAGCAGUGGGGAAUAUUGCACAAUGGGGGAAACCCUGAUGCAGCGGCGCCGCGUGAGCGAAGAAGUAUUUCGGUAUGUAAAGCUCUAUCAGCAGGGAAGAAAAUGACGGUACCUGACUAAGAAGCACCGGCUAAAUACGUGCCAGCAGCCGCGGUAAUACGUAUGGUGCAAGCGUUAUCCGGAUUUACUGGGUGUAAAGGGAGCGUAGACGGCUGUGUAAGUCUGAAGUGAAAGCCCGGGGCUCAACCCCGGGACUGCUUUGGAAACUAUGCAGCUAGAGUGUCGGAGAGGUAAGUGGAAUUCCCAGUGUAGCGGUGAAAUGCGUAGAUAUUGGGAGGAACACCAGUGGCGAAGGCGGCUUACUGGACGAUGACUGACGUUGAGGCUCGAAAGCGUGGGGAGCAAACAGGAUUAGAUACCCUGGUAGUCCACGCCGUA